GACAGAGGAUGCAAGCGUUAUCCGGAAUGAUUGGGCGUAAAGCGUCUGUAGGUGGCUUUUAAGUCCGCCGUCAAAUCCCAGGGCUUCAACCCUGGACAGGACGGUGGAAACUACCAAGCUGGAGUACGGUAGGGCAGAGGGAAUUUCCGGUGGAGCGGUGAAAGUGCGUAGAGAUCGGAAAGAACACCAACGGCGAAAGCACUCUGCUGGGCCGACACUGACACUGAGAGACGAAAGCUAGGGGAGCGAAUGGG
rnacentral:rRNA from 1 species